rnacentral:rRNA from 1 species
UGUAAACUAAAGGAGAAGACGGCCACAAAGGAGGAGUAGGACAGUGCCGUCGGUCAGUCAGUCACUUCACUGGUGUCUGGUGUGUUACGAAGGCUGCUGCCGCUGGCGGAGUUGCGGGGGCGGCGGUGGCCGGGGCGGCGGACCGCUCGGCGUGCGCCGGGAGAAGGAGCGGGACCCGAUGUACGCCGACGGACUCGACGAUCGGACGACCGCGCAUACGGCGGAGGAGCCGCUCCGGCAGCGCCCCCUAGGGGAGGACACCGCAGCGGAGCGCCAUCUCGGCGGCGAGUCGCCGGCCCACUGGCUGGUUCAGGAGGAGUUCAACUGACGCUCCCGCCUACCCUGCGACGCCAGAGAGGCGGAAAAGCCCACGGAGGUGCAAAGGCUGCGGCCGGACGAAGCGCAGCAGCUCGUGUUAGGGGCGCAGUGGCUCUAAAUACACGGACGUACAUGUCCGAACUGACCACUACCCCACCAGUUUUAACAAGUCGAAGACGUGCUUGCGUUCCCUUUAUAUUCAGCAGAGGCUGAACUACCAUAAUCGCCCUACUCAUUCGUAGUAGAACUAUAAUAGUACAGAGAGUACACGUUUCCAUUGGGUGUUCCCGUUGUUCUAUCUUCGGGUGAAAAAAUGUUGGUAUCUCGGGCACUUCGCGACUUGUGGUUACUACUUGCGGGAUAACUACAACUACAAACGGGACACACACGCUUGCAGUCCGGACACAAACUAACAUGCUCCCUACUGACAUCCUUUCACUCCCUGUCGAACACCGCCACGGCUCCGACGAUGAAGACGAAAGGAUCUACGCUUUUUACACCACCGACAUAGUCAGGCCUCCUAUAUCAGCUCCGACUAGAACGAACAAGUCUAGAAUACACAAACCUAACAACCGAAUGCCAGGGAUUUACGUCGUGUACGUUAGCCGGAAUGACACUCUCCGUACGUUUAAACUACCAGAGGAACAGCUACCGACCGGUCAAAAGUACGGUCGCAACGUUCCUCGAGCUACGUAGCGUGCUCUUAGUCCUUCUAUUGAUAAUCUUCACUCGGAAGGUGGGGAGAAGACAUUGACGUUUAUGAACUCGAGCACACGUGUCAUUCUCCGUACCGCCGUUUCUUCCUCGAACGGCCCCUCCUCCGCCUCCGGAACCCCGUACCAACCCCACGUCCGCCUCGCUCUCCUUCGACGUCCCCUCGAGCCCCACGAGCACGUAAUCGACGGGCGUACCGGUCACCGCCGCUAGCGACCUCGAGCCGUGCCACCAACCCUUCUUGCCUGCUGCGGUUACGGACGUCCUAUGGUUGCGCUUGGGUGGCACCCUCAGCUGUUCCUCUUGGCCUCGAACAGCUUCUACUUCCUCUUGGCCUCGAACAGCUUCUACUCUUGUGUGCCUCCGUCUCUUGACUCUCUUCUACUGCCACUCCUGCUGCUAAUUCGCGCGGAACCUGGCUAAGGAAACCGCCCUCCCAGGACCCCGCUCCGUCUCGCGAUCCUGUACCGUCGAACCGAGCCCUUCGGCAACCGGUGCUCCUGCUUCCUGCUGCAGCCGCCGCACGAGACCAGCGCUUCGGCGCCACUGACACUCGGCCCUCCAUGCCCGAGUGUCUGCCGGAGGAAGGGUAGAGGGAAGAGGUGGAGGUGUAUGCGUUUGGUCUCACGUGUAAAACUUCAA